UAAACAACACUCAAAACAUGACCAGCUCCCAUCUCACUGUGCCAAGGGCUGCAAAUGUUCCUGAUUUCCUUUGAAAAGUAUGUCUAUUUACUGGAUUCAGUUCCGACCCAAAUUCUAAUGCAUCAUGUUACAGUGAUCUGACCCAUUUGCAACUGGAGAUUGCCAAAGAACUUUAACUGAUUCGUAAGCCAAUGUCAAGACCAAUUUUCAUACGCAGUUAGAAUAUCAAUCUCAUAGUAUUCCCAAAAAUCCAAGCUAACCAGCCAGUCGAGGAUGUUCGUGAGCCCAGUAUUGAACCCCCCAAAGCCCUAACACCGGAGAUGGAAAAUCGCUGUUGGGAAGCCGGCGUCAUCCAGAAUGCGAGCAGAAAUGGUGUCGGCAUCUCCAAAGGAUUCUAUAGGCCACGGUGGGGAGCUUGAGAUUCGCCUGCAUGAUGGUAAGCCUUGCAUCACUGUCACCAACCAGGCGUUAGAGAAGAUGAAAAACCCCUUCUGAUAGACUGCCCUGACAUGCUUUCUCGGGGAUUCCAACUCCAAGAGUAUGGAACACGGAUAUACUACUAAGUACUAACAAUCUAUGAAGACAAUGAAUAGAGAUUAGAAAUCCUAGGCUUUCCUUCCUGGGAAAGGGUGUCUUCUUGGUGAGGGUAGAUAUCGAAUCAGACCUGCAGGUGGUUCUAUGGAAGGGAGCUUGGAAAAUAGCCGGCAGAGUUCUUGUUGCAACAAAAAGGUAUCCUUGAGACUCGAUGAAGGUUGAGGACAACUUAUACGUCCCUUUGUGGAUCCGUUUGCCAGGUCUACCGGUACUUCUUUGUUAUUGGAAAAUUUUCUAGGGUGCCGCUCCUGCGUUAGGUGGGCAACUUAUUCAAAAAGGCUUCCACAGGCAAGACAUGUCCCGUUGAGCUUUGCACAAAUCUCUCCGUUUUGGCCCUAAAUCAGAGGCCGACUUGGAGAUCGAUGGCAAGCAUUUGUGGCAGGAAAAAGUUUAUGAGAGCAAUCGAAACUAUUGUGUAUUGCAAAUAAAAUACUCAUCUGGUAGAGUAUUCCGGAUGAAUAAAUUUCAGGUUGAAGAACAAAUCGGAGGGAAUGGCUGGUCUGACGUCAAAAUGGCCAGAAGACAGUGGAAGAAGGGUUCAAAAUGUAAUGGGGUUGCUCAUCCGGAGGAAACUAAGCCGACAGUGGUAGUGCAACAAAGCAAGGGGUGUCUCCCAACAAUAGGCAAAUCAAUUCCAGGCCCUAGCAUGAGAAACAGAGGAGAUGGAGGUAGUUCUAGAAGAGGCAAACAAAGACCAUAAUAAGGUUGCAAUGGAGGUCAUGCGUAAUAAUCCAGUUUAUUUGUCUAUGGAAGAAAGGAGACAGCUGCCUCAAAGCAAACCAAUCCCUAUAGUACCAACUGAAUAGGAAGGCGUACCACAAAACCCUGGCCUUGAUCAAGCAAUGCAAAGACUGUGGCAGAGGAUGGGAGAGUAAUUCGAUCGGAGGAUUAAAAUUAAAGAUUCUCUACGACAUCAAUGGCAAUGUUGGAAAAUGCAAAUUUUCAAAUCGACAUGGAUGAAAAAUCCUGACUAUCAGUCCUCCCCAUGACAAUAUGGAGCAUCUGGAAGCACAGAAAUGCUGCUUAUCAUAACAGUAGUGAUCUGAUGGCUGCUAAUGCUUGCUGGAUUUCCUGUGGGAAGAUCUAAACAAUUUAUUUUUGUAGCUCGUUGGGGCAUCAAAUACGUAUGACUUUAUACUACUAUUAGGCCUGAUCCAUGGCCUCCUUUUAACCAUAUAGAGUGCUAUAUCGGCAUUGCUCGUAUUGUGCAAGAAAGAUCUCAAAAAAUUGCUGUGGAGGUUCGAUCAGCUUCUCAUGGAACUGCUUAAGCUGUUGCUGACAGGAUAAAUCAAAUGAAACGUGUAGAGGCAGAAAAGUGCUGCCAAACUUGAUGUACCAAUUUCAUUUUUUGACUGGGUCAGAUCACAGUAGGAGGUCCAUGGCAAUGGAGGAGGAUGUUGAGAAAAGUUCUAUGUCGGUGCAAUAGCAAAGGCAUGCGUAAUUUUUUGUGUCAACGAUAAAUUAAUCUUGUCUUACUUGAUUGUAAUCCUGAUAAGUCUACAAUGGAAUUAUUAUGUACAGCCUUGCUACUGAAUUCUGUAAGAGAAUGGAAUAGGUCGUCUGCACCUUGUUAAUGUGCAAGUGCAGGGACUGUUUCUGUUCGUAUUUUUGUACAGCAUCCAUGCUCUUUAUUUUUUGUUAAUAGAUUCAGGGAAAGCUCGUCCAGCGGGGUUGAUUCGGAACUGCAGACUGCCAACCAUUUGGGGUCUUAUUUAUUUUAUUAUAUUUUUUAUUUC